UUCACUCUGUGAUUCAGAGUUAUUAAUGAAAUAUAAAGUAAAAGCAAAACCCUCAGAAUUCCUUCGUUUGUGUAGUCAUCCUCAGUGUUUCCUUAGCUUCAUCGUAGCAUUAAAUAAUUCAAAAUUUCAGCGUCUCGCAAUUUCGCGAAUAAAUAUGAUUUUAAAAAUAAGGGACACAUUAUGUCUAACAAAACUACUGGUAUCGUAAAAUGGUUUAACGAAGAGAAAGGUUUUGGUUUCCUAACUCAAGACAAUGGCGGCCAGGACGUAUUCGUUCACUUCCGUGCUAUCGCUUCUGAAGGUUUCAAAACUCUAGCUGAAGGCCAAAAAGUGUCUUUCACAGUUGAGCAAGGUCAAAAAGGCCUUCAAGCUGCUGACGUUGUAGCUAUCUAAGUUUUAGUCGGCGUAGACGGUCUGUGAUCGUCUACGCUAA
rnacentral:sRNA from 1 species